CCUACGGGGGACAGCAGUGGGGGAUAUUGCACAAUGGGGGAAACCCUGAUGCAGCGACGCCGCGUGUGGGAAGACGGUCCUCUGGAUUGUAAACCACUGUCCCCAGGGACGAAGCUGACGGUACCUGGGGAGGCCGCUCCGGCUAACUACGUGCCAGCAGCCGCGGUAAUACGUAGGGAGCAAGCGUGGUCCGGCAUUACUGGGUGUAAAGGGAGCGUAGGCGGGAUGGCAAGUUGGGUGUUAAAUCUACCGGCUCAACUGGUAGUCGCACUCAAAACUGCUAUUCUUGAGUGAAGUAGAGGCAGGCGGAAUUCCUAGUGUAGCGGUGAAAUGCGUAGAUAUUAGGAGGAACACCAGUGGCGAAGGCGGCCUGCUGGGCUUUUACUGACGCUGAGGCUCGAAAGUGUGGGGAGCAAACAGGAUUAGAUACCCUAGUAGUC
rnacentral:rRNA from 1 species